GGGCCGGUAGCUUAGCCAGGCAGAGCACGGGACUCUUAAUCCCGGUGUCGGGGGUUCAAAUCCCCUCCGGCCCG
rnacentral:tRNA from 4 species